GCCUUCGUGGCCUAACGGAUAAGGCGUCGGCUUUCUAAGCCGAAGUUUGCGGGUUCGAAUCCCGUCGGAGGUA
rnacentral:tRNA from 1 species